GUGUUUGCAUUAGCGGCACAUAUGCUAAAAUUGGAAUGAUACAGAGAAGAUUAGCAUGAACUCUGCUUAAGGGUGACACACAAAUUCAUGAAACAUUCCAUAUUUUU